rnacentral:rRNA from 2 species
CAAAGGGUAACAGUCUAUACAUGCAGUCGAACGAACUCUGGAAUUGAUUGGUGCUUGCAUCAUGAUUUACAUUUGAGUGAGUGGCGAACUGGUGAGUAACACGUGGGAAACCUGCCCAGAAGCGGGGGAUAACACCUGGAAACAGAUGCUAAUACCGCAUAACAACUUGGACCGCAUGGUCCGAGCUUGAAAGAUGGCUUCGGCUAUCACUUUUGGAUGGUCCCGCGGCGUAUUAGCUAGAUGGUGGGGUAACGGCUCACCAUGGCAAUGAUACGUAGCCGACCUGAGAGGGUAAUCGGCCACAUUGGGACUGAGACACGGCCCAAACUCCUACGGGAGGCAGCAGUAGGGAAUCUUCCACAAUGGACGAAAGUCUGAUGGAGCAACGCCGCGUGAGUGAAGAAGGGUUUCGGCUCGUAAAACUCUGUUGUUAAAGAAGAACAUAUCUGAGAGUAACUGUUCAGGUAUUGACGGUAUUUAACCAGAAAGCCACGGCUAACUACGUGCCAGCAGCCGCGGUAAUACGUAGGUGGCAAGCGUUGUCCGGAUUUAUUGGGCGUAAAGCGAGCGCAGGCGGUUUUUUAAGUCUGAUGUGAAAGCCUUCGGCUCAACCGAAGAAGUGCAUCGGAAACUGGGAAACUUGAGUGCAGAAGAGGACAGUGGAACUCCAUGUGUAGCGGUGAAAUGCGUAGAUAUAUGGAAGAACACCAGUGGCGAAGGCGGCUGUCUGGUCUGUAACUGACGCUGAGGCUCGAAAGUAUGGGUAGCAAACAGGAUUAGAUACCCUGGUAGUCCAUACCGUAAACGAUGAAUGCUAAGUGUUGGAGGGUUUCCGCCCUUCAGUGCUGCAGCUAACGCAUUAAGCAUUCCGCCUGGGGAGUACGGCCGCAAGGCUGAAACUCAAAGGAAUUGACGGGGGGCCCGCACAAGCGGUGGAAGCAUGUGGGUUUAAUUCGAAAGCUACGCGAAGAAACCUUACCAGGGUCUUGACAUACUAUGGCAAUCCUAAGAAGAUUAGAACGUUCCCUUUCGGGGGACAUGGAAUACAGGGUGGUGGCAUGGGUUGUCCGUCCACCUCCGUGUCCGUGAAAAUGUUUGGGGUUUAAGUUCCCCGCAAACGAAGCGCCAACCCCUUUAUUUAUCAAUUUGCCCAGCCAUUAAGGUUGG